UACGGGGGGAGCAAGCGUUGUUCGGAUUUACUGGGCGUAAAGGGCGCGUAGGCGGCGUGACAAGUCACUUGUGAAAUCUCCGGGCUUAACCCGGAGCGGCCAAGUGAUACUGUCGUGCUAGAGUGCGGAAGGGGCUACUGGAAUUCUCGGUGUAGCGGUGAAAUGCGUAGAUAUCGAGAGGAACACCUGCGGCGAAGGCGGGUAGCUGGGCCGACACUGACGCUGAGGCGCGAAAGCGUGGGGAGCAAACAGG
rnacentral:rRNA from 1 species